rnacentral:rRNA from 1 species
CCUAGUGGCGGACGGGUGAGUAACGCGUGGGUAACCUGCCUUACACAGGGGGAUAACACUUAGAAAUAGGUGCUAAUACCGCAUGAGCGCACAGGACCGCAUGGUCGAGUGUGAAAAACUGAGGUGGUGUAAGAUGGACCCGCGUCUGAUUAGCUAGUUGGUGAGGUAACGGCCCACCAAGGCGACGAUCAGUAGCCGGCCUGAGAGGGUGGACGGCCACAUUGGGACUGAGACACGGCCCAAACUCCUACGGGAGGCAGCAG